AUUAAAAGCGCCCACUUAUAAUAACAACAGUGUGAUGAUUAAGAUGAGAAGAUUAUUUCUACAAUCAGAUUCUACCUUUUCUUUGUUUGCUAGUCAGUGGCGUCUGGGGAAAAAAUCCCAGCAUUCUCAGCGUCGAUAAAACCCCAAAGGCUUCCUGCCCGCCAUUUCACUUUUGGGUAGCUACUUAGCAAGCGCCUUCGUUUGAGGUAGUUUUCCUUGUGAAACCAUUAUAUAUCUCAUCGUUGAAUUAACAAGCAAAUAAUCAAUAUUGGUAGUCAAAUUUAUAUUAAAACAUUUGUUUAUUAAGGCAAUUGGAAUCGACACGUUAACGAACGACCACAGUUUUAAUUGAAGACCAGCGUUCACAAACCAGGCCUGGGCCAUGGCAGGGUGUGGCUCACGUCAUAAAGUCCGCCGAUGGCCUGUGUCAGACAUCACUGGGCAUCAGCACAAGACUGUGUUUCCUGAAAAUUGUCACGCCAAUGCGAAAGAGUUUGUGUUCGUUGUUGGCGAUUCACAUCUGAGAUCUUUUGCUGAUGGAGUUGUGAACAUGCCAGAGGGUCGGCUGUCCUUUGGUUUUAUGGCCACACCUGGAGGAGAUGCAACAGCGUUGCGUUUGGAGAUCUCCCAUCUUGGUGCUACUCCACGUACUCCAGAUGCAGUGUGCCUGCUUGCUCCAGGGAACAACAUGACCUCAAGUCGCACUAUUGAGGAAGCUGCCAGGGCCUUUGGGACUCUCCUCAGUGUUGCAUUGCAACACUGGCCAAACAAGGUGUUUGUGGUGGAUUUCCCUAUACGACAUGUACAUGCAACACUGGAAUACCAGCUUCUGCUAAAGCAGGAAUAUCACCGAGUUGCAGCAAAGAUGGGGGUGCGGUAUUUCUCAACAAAUGAUGUUUUCCAGCCAUCCAAAAGGCAUCUCUGGUGUCAGGAUUUGGUACACCUAAGUGAUGACAAAGGUAUGCCUCUCCUUGCGGACUUCAUUUGGAACACUUCAUACAGCAUCCUACACGUCCCUGUCAAUCCUGUGCCACUUGGAGUGCGUCCUACACUCAAAAGAUGCUUCCACAAAAACAAGAAGAAGCAUGGUACUUCAUCACAGCCACAGUGUGUUGCUCCAUCUCAGCGCUCAGCAACAUCCUAUCGGCCCUUUCCAGCUGUUAAAAUGAAGUAUGUCGACCAUGACCAAUGGACACACCUGCUGCCUACUGUUCCAGGUAAUUCUUG